GGGGCAAGCGUUGUUCGGAAUUAUUGGGCGUAAAGGGCACGUAGGUGGACUAGUAAGUUAAAAGUGAAAUACCAAAGCUCAACUUUGGAGCUGCUUUUAAUACUGCUAGACUAGAGGUCGAAAGAGGAUAGCGGAAUUCCUAGUGUAGAGGUGAAAUUCGUAGAUAUUAGGAGGAACACCAGUGGCGAAGGCGGCUAUCUGGUUCGAUACUGACACUGAGGUGCGAAAGC
rnacentral:rRNA from 1 species